UUUGCUAAUAUGUCUACAACAACUAACCAUCUGUUUUUAUGUUUCUCUGCCUCCAUCCAACUAGGGCUCUUUUGUGUGUGCAGGACAAUCCCAACGAUUGUCCAUUCAUUUCAUCCGUCGUGUACAUCUUGGAGAACGGAAGUGCCAAACUUCAUGUCCCGAACCAACCGAUUGCAGAGGCCAAACCUGAUGCUACCCCAUUGUUUUGUAAUGUGCAAGUUAAGCUUCUGAUGGUACAUAGUUGGCAUGCAGUAAAAUCUAGCAACCAUUGGUGCAGUGCCAAAUAAAGUAACCACAGCCGGUUUUAUCAACAGAGUCAUAUUUCAAAGGUACCCCUUCGCAAAUUCAUGAUUCAGGACC